CAGAUAUUAGUUUAUUAAAAUAUUAAUUUUGGAGAUUAAUGAUAGGUGAUUACCUAUAUCUGA
rnacentral:tRNA from 1 species